AAAUUCCAUGUGUUUUCUACUUCGUUUUGUGGAAGACGGAGAAGCCAGCGAAGAAGAGGAGGGGGGAGGAGACCGAAAGAAACAAGAAAGGAAUUCCAAGAGCAAUCGGUUUCGAUUAAUCGAUCGCCCUCGUUGUUUCUAUCAUAAGGGCUUGAAAGAAGGAUUGCCAUGAGAUUCAAGAAGGGGAAUAAGGUGGAGGUUUGGAGCAGGAGGGAGUUUGCAUCAGGCUCAUGGUGGAGUGCCGAGAUCAUCUCGGGUAAUGGGCAUAACUAUUCUGUGAGAUAUGAUGGGUAUCCAACAGACAGCAGUGUGGCAGUGGAUAGAGUGCCAAGAAAGGCCAUCAGACCCUGCCCUCCACCUGUGGAAGGCCUGAAGGAUGUGAAGUCUGGAGAUGUUGUCGAGGUUUUUGACAAUAAUUCAUGGAAGCUUGGUGAAGUUUUGAUGGUUGUCGAUAAGAAAUACUGUUCUGUGAGGCUCAUUGGAUCCUCUAGGGAGUUCAGAACCCAUAAUUCUCACAUAAGGAGACAUCUUUCUUGGCAGGACGAGCAGUGGGUGGCGAUUCAUAAGGAUUCUGGAAAACAACAUGGUGGAAUUCUAAACAGUUCAUCAAGAGGAGAGAAGUUUGGUUACCGUAAGCCUCAGUCAUGUGUAGAGAUGGUUAAUUCUUCUGGAAAGAGCCGUUUUCCUAUUGGAAGUCAUGAUUUUCCUGAGAAUACAAGAUGGGUUCUCCCAAGAGGCAUGAAGAAAAGGCCAUUGGAUUUAUCUAUUCCUUCAGAGAUGUGCAAUGAUGGUAGAAGAAAGACAAGGGCAGUCGAGAAAGAUGGGAAGUGUCACAGAAUGAUUACCAAGCGUCCAAUACAGUGUUUCGAAAAGGGCCAAAAUUGGAGGCUCCCAAACUUUGAUUCCAUAGGUCUGUGAUGAUGGUGGAGUUGUCAUGUCUUUUACACUGCGAUCAGUGUGGCAACACUUCCAUCUUAUUCUUAUGCAAUUGCUUUUGUAUGGUUGAAGAAUACCAUGAAUGGAUAGGUGGUGCAAGUAUGCUGCUGAGGAUGCAGGCAUGAUAUUGCAAUGGAUGUACUCUUAGAAAUGAUCAUUUUUCUAAACUAAACUCAAGUCCUACCACCUCUGCAUUCUUGCAUUAGUUAACAUAUAGGGAAAUUCAACAGGUAUUGUUUUCAGCAGUCAGUUUGCCUAAAAACACUCUAUUGAUUGGUUAAUUCUAGGAAAAAUUGCUUGCAUAUUUCUAUGAAUGCUUUUCUUUAAGGUCUCUUUGUUGACUAGGUACCACAAGCGUUGUUGCUUCAGUUAGGCAAAGUGCCAUAACACAGGUUAGCCACGAAGCUGCGUGAUGUUACUGUUGGAGUCAUGACAUUCCAAUGCAUAUGCAAAUGGCCAGCAAUUGUGCAGGACAUGCAGGACCAACUUCAUCAAUUGUACAUUUGCUGCUGGGUUGAUCAAUUAUGGGAAAUAUGAGCUGUAAACAUGUAGAUUAGAAAUUAGUUUUUAAAAAUGUCAUGUAUAUCAUAGGAUGUAUACCAAGAUGCGGGUGUCUGAUCUGUAUCCGAGAAGAUGUUUUGCUAUAGACACUUGAGUGGUGUAAUUGGUUCUAAUGUAUCAGAUCCUGAUAUAAACGUUUCCCAUGCUUACUUCUGUUGUUUUGAUUGGGAACUAGAUAUGUUGUCCUGUAACCUUUACUAAGCUUUAAAGAGUUAAGAUCAACUGCAGGUUCUUGCGGAA